rnacentral:rRNA from 1 species
GAUGAACGCUGACAGAAUGCUUAACACAUGCAAGUCGAUGGGGAAGUGGUGCUUGCACCAUGGCAACCAUGGCGGACGGGUGAGUAACGCGUAAGGGACUUACCUGCAGGACUGGGAUAACAGGGGGAAACUCCUGACAAGACCGGAUAAUGUCAUGGAGCUGCAUGGCUUUAUGAUGAAAGGAGACGCCUGCGGAGAGCCUUGCGUCCUAUUAGCUAGUUGGUGAGGUAAUGGCUCACCAAGGCGAAGAUAGGUAGCCGGCCUGAGAGGGUGGACGGCCACAAGGGGACUGAGAUACGGCCCUUACUCCUACGGGAGGCAGCAGUGGGGAAUAGUGGACAAGGGGGGCAACCCUGAUCCAGCAAUUCUGUGUGCACGAAGAAGGUUUUCGGAUUGUAAAGUGCUUUCAGCAGGGAAGAAGUAAGUGACGGUACCUGCAGAAGAAGCGACGGCUAAAUACGUG